UGGAUAAAAGGUACUCCGGGGAUAACAGGCUUAUCUCCCCCAAGAGUUCAUAUCGACGGGGAGGUUUGGCACCUCGAUGUCGGCUCAUCACAUCCUGGGGCUGUAGAAGGUCCCAAGGGUUGGGCUGUUCGCCCAUUAAAGUGGUACGUGAGCUGGGUUUAGAACGUCGUGAGACAGUUCGGUCUCUAUCCGCCGUGGGCGCAGGAGAAUUGAAGGAAUCUGCUUCUAGUACGAGAGGACCGAAGUGGACAAACCUCUGGUGUACCAGUUGUUUCAUCAGAAGCAUCGCUGGGUAGCUACGUUUGGAAAGGAUAAGCGCUGAAAGCAUAUAAGUGCGAAACCUGUCCUAAGAUUAGUUCUCCCUAUCUUUAUGAUAAUAAGGCUCGUUGUAGACUACAACGUUGAUAGGCCACAAGUGUAAGUACAGUAAUGUAUUCAGCUGAGUGGUACUAAUUAGCCGAAUGGCUUUAUCAA
rnacentral:ncRNA from 1 species